rnacentral:piRNA from 1 species
UAGGAGUAUGAUCAAAGUCAGACACUCGACC